rnacentral:rRNA from 1 species
GACGAACGCUGGCGGCGUGCUUAACACAUGCAAGUCGAACGGAAAGGCCCUGCUUUUGUGGGGUGCUCGAGUGGCGAACGGGUGAGUAACACGUGAGUAACCUGCCCUUGACUUUGGGAUAACUUCAGGAAACUGGGGCUAAUACCGGAUAGGAGCUCCUGCUGCAUGGUGGGGGGUGGAAAGUUUCGGGGGUUGGGGAUGGACUGGCGGCUUAUCAGCUUGUUGGUGGGGUAGUGGCUUACCAAGGCUUUGACGGGUAGUCGGCCUGAGGGGGUGGCCGGCCACAUUGGGACUGAGAUACGGCCCAGACUCCUACGGGAGGCAGCAGUGGGGAAUAUUGCACAAUGGGCGGGAGCCUGAUGCAGCAACGCCGCGUGCGGGAUGACGGCCUUCGGGUUGUAAACCGCUUUCGCCUGUGACGAAGCGUGAGUGACGGUAAUGGGUAAAGAAGCACCGGCUAACUACGUG